CAAUACGGAGUGGCAGACGGGUGAGUAACACGUGGGAACGUACCCUUCGGUUCGGAAUAACUCAGGGAAACUUGAGCUAAUACCGGAUACGUCCGAGAGGAGAAAGAUUCAUCGCCGAAGGAUCGGCCCGCGUCUGAUUAGCUUGUUGGUGAGGUAACGGCUCACCAAGGCGACGAUCGGUAGCUGGUCUGAGAGGAUGGUCAGCCACACUGGGACUGAGAAACGGCCCAG
rnacentral:rRNA from 1 species